AUUGAACGCUGGCGGCAUGCUUUACACAUGCAAGUCGAACGGUAACAGGCCUUCGGGCGCUGACGAGUGGCGAACGGGUGAGUAAUGCAUCGGAACGUGCCCAGUCGUGGGGGAUAACGCAGCGAAAGCUGUGCGAAUACCGCAUACGAUCUAUGGAUGAAAGCGGGGGACCGUAAGGUCUCGCGCGAUUGGAGCGGCCGAUGUCAGAUUAGGUAGUUGGUGGGGUAAAGGCACACCAAGCCAACGAUCUGUAGCUGGUCUGAGAGGACGACCAGCCACACUGGAACUGAGACACGGUCCAGACUCCUACGGGAGGCAGCAGUGGGGAAUUUUGGACAAUGGGCGCAAGCCUGAUCCAGCAAUGCCGCGUGCAGGAAGAAGGCCUUCGGGUUGUAAACUGCUUUUGUACGGAACGAAACGGCGAGCUCUAAUACAGUUUGCUAAUGACGGUACCGUAAGAAUAAGCACCGGCUAACUACGUGCCAGCCGCCGCGGUAAAAC
rnacentral:rRNA from 1 species